UCCGGCCAGAGGAGAAGGGAAAGGCAGAUGCGUGGUUCAAUCCUCAUGGUCAGCCUCUCAGGACACAGAGCAGAGCAGAGAAAGUAACAGCCCGAGGAGUCCCCUGGUGACAAACACCUGUCCUCCUGAUCAGCUCAAAUGGUUUAGGAGCAGCUGGCCUGUCCGCAUCCCACGGCUCACAGGUGGUCAUGAGAUCAAUGCCUGUUCCACCAACACAGUCCUACCCUGGUCACAGGAAGAUCCACCAGCCAUUUGAGGACUGAUGUGGUAACAGUGGGGCGACCUUCCUCUCUGCCUGCCUCCUGGGAGCAGGACGAGCCAUUCCCUGCUCUGCAGAAGGCAAAGGGAGGGGGGCAGUGAUGACAUCAGCGGGAGGGCCUGGAGAGAGACAUGUUGUGCAGCACAUUCUAUGAACAUGGGAGGAUGAGAUCACUGAACCAUCUACUGCAGGAACAGAGGCAGCACUGCAGCCAGACUCAGGGCCAUGUGCUCAGAGUCGAUGUGAAGCAAGUCCGAUCAGUAAGGAGGUCGUGUCUGCUGCAGACAACCACUUACAUGAUUAAGGGACAGGGCAGGCUGCUGGAGCAAAGAGGUCCUGCCAUGGACGGAGUAUUUGUGUCUCCGCCAAAUAUAUAUGUUGAAACUUAAUCUCCAAGGGUCUCUGAGUCCUCCAGCCAAUGGAGCACCUUGGAAGUGACAUUCUGUGACCUCUGGCCGUGCCCUUCCUGCCUCAUUCACUGGAAUGCUUGCCGCCAGGUGAGGCUGAGACCGGUUAUUUAACCUGCCCAGGGUCAAACGGGGACAGAAAUCCUGCCCAGAACAAACUCUCUCAAAAGCCUGGUUCUCCCCAUCCAGCAUCAUUGAGCAGCUACCCAUAAUCCUCUGCCCAGUUACUUAGCACCCAGGCAUCAACUUCUCCUCUGCAAAGAAUUCAGCGAUGGAAAUUAGGAAGACCUUGCACUCAAGAGGCUCUGUACGUGUGACUGACUAAGGGCACAAUGUGCCUUUUAUGGUCGCAGAACGAACACGGAGCACUUCUGUUGGCAUGGAGCUUUCCUUCUUGUCACUAAGGUAAACAGAGCGUCGGGAUGUCUGUGGGGGUGGGCAGUGGGGCACAAAGGUCUGGUCCACCAGGACUAGAAGGAGGUGAGAAAACAGUCCUGGCACUCCUUGUCCGAAGACACCGUGAGGAGCUCCGUCAGCCCUCCCAGAUCGCAGGCUUGGGGCCAGAAGCUCUUAACACAGGUACAUGGCUCAUUAGCGGGGAAAUGGCAGUGGGUAAUUGGAAUAUGUAAAUGGUAUGGGCACACAGUGUGUUUUAACAAUCAAGACCCAAAGAGAAGGAGCUUAAUUCGGUGGAGAGAAAGGAACAGGCGGCCCAGGAGCCUAUUACUGGAGCCAGAGGAGAGAUGCUCAGCUCAGGGAACCGGGACGAGUGGGGCUGAGGCACUGGGUGAGUUUGUUUCCCCCUCUCAAAUGCCAAGGGACCUGUGAUCCAGCCCUGCCUUUUUCACGUACCAAUUCUUGUGGACUCUCUUUCCUAAAUAUGUUUUGCAGCCAAUCGCCUCCUCUCCAGGAUCUGUUACCAGUUUCCUUCUGGACCUCCACGUCCCAGCUGGGCACCACCAAGAGUCUUGAUUGAGAUUGCUUUCACUGAAGUGUUUCUCCCCCUCCCAAACUCUCCUCCACAGAGUCAUCAGGAAGCGCUUUCUGAAACUUCCUGGGAUCAGUCACAUGAGUCCACGCAUAGAAGAGCUCCUGGUCCCCAAGUUCAUAAACUCAGU